GUGAAUCUUCGAAUCUUUGAACGCAAAUUGCGCUUCCUGGCAUCCCGGGAAGUAUGCCUGUUUGAGAGUCAGUAUUAAUAAACAAUCGUUUUAGUUACAAAUUGUUACGUUUCCGGAGGUUGGGCUAGCUUAACAUUUUUGGCUAAGAGGCUUAGAAUUAACCUGUUUUGCGCGUUUUUAAACUUACAUAAAUUUUUUUUAUUCGUCUAUUCUUAAUGCCAAAAUCGUAUUAGAUGCGAUCACGUC
rnacentral:misc_RNA from 1 species